rnacentral:lncRNA from 1 species
CCACUAGUGGCACUGGCACCAGUGGGAACACUGCCAGCAGUAAUUCCUCUGGUACCCAGCUCACCAUAUACACUUCUUGGCAGAUUGCCGCGAGUACAAAUAGUAUCAGCAACAGUGUUGUCAGUCCCACUACACACAAGCAAAUGAUGUCUCUUCGAUGCUGCACACACUACUAAUGCCUUUGCUGAUCCUUCCCAUCCCUUGUGUAUUGCCAAUGUCAUUGUUUCUAUUCCAAGUGUUAUCAACACGACCCUUCAUUUUUGAAAGCUCAUCUACAUACCUUUGCACCCCUUACCCCAUCUCCCUUGUGAGAUGCUAACAAUGCUCUCUGGCCGGGGGCAAUCUACCUAUGAACCUGCCUAUCCCUUGUCCUUAGCAUGACCCUUCAUUCCUGAAAGCUCAUCUCCAUACCUUUGCAAUGCACUCACGCCAAGGGCCGUCCGCCUAUGAACGUUGGGAGGUGGCAGCUCAAUCUGAAUUGUCUAUCUCAAUGGGCCCCACAACAUACACCACAUCGUUGAGCCCACCGGGACUCAGACAUACAGCAUCUUUUUGCCACCUAUCACCCACGUUCCAGUGAUUGGGACCACUUGGAGCCAUUUUUAAGUGGUAUAAACAGAUGGUUUUAAAAGUUUCUAAUGAGUUUAUUACCACUAAAAUGAUUUAAUCUCUACAAUUUUAGUUCAUGGCUCAAAGGUGGGUUUAUAUCUAGGUCAAAUGUUAUUAGCCAAUCAGGGUGGGAACUUGUAAUCUAUGGUUUAUGCAGUUUUAAAAGCUUUUAUGAUACACUUAGGGCUAAAUUGGCUGGUUUUAAGGUGAGCUAGCCUAAUUAAGCAAGUUUAUGGGUAGCUUAGGCCUAUUUAAGAUGAUUUAAAAAGAAUUUAAGUGUGCGUAGGAUUUUAACUAGUUGAGUUUAACUCUUAAUGAAGUUGAUUUAGGGGCUAAAUAGUGGUUCCUAACUAAUUACCAUGUGUGGUAGGUGUAUGGAUCAUGGGAGUAGGGUGCGCUAGGUUGUAUUAUGCUAGUAUGAUCCCAAGUGCGAUUUAGUCUAGAAAUAGGGCGUUUGGGUGUCUAUAGUUACUUGUCUCACACUUUGGAUGAGAUGAACAGCAAAGAAGUAAACACCUAAGUCAUAGAGUCAGAGUAAAAACAGAGAUUGAAUAGUAAUUUUGGAGCCAAGUACUUGCUUGGAUGUCUGACAAUAGUCAAUCAAGGAUGUCAGUGGUCUCCACGACCUAAAUAUGAGCUUAACCCAGGAUUUGGGGCGAUCGCUGAAUGCUCCUUGUUUGAUUAGCGAGUCGUGAUCAUGACGUAGCUUUUGUAGAGAUAGAGAUAGUCGAGGAGAUAUAAAUAGUUGAGGAUAGUUUUUAGUUUUAAGUUAUCUUGUAUUUGAUGUAGAUAUCUCUCUUGAUAAGACUAGAUUAAUUCAUUAUUAUCAACAACUGAUUAGCACUCUCUUGAUAAGACUAGAUUAGUUUAUUAUUAUCAAUAACUGAUUAGCCCUAUAUAUAUAAGGGACUCUGUAUAUUCUUGAUGGUUAAUAAAUAUACAAUGAUUUUUCUAGAGGAUUCAGAAGUUUAACACGGUAUCAGAGCGAGGUUGAUUUAUCAGUAGCAAUCCAUUGCUCAGUAGCAAAUCCAUUGCUCAUCAAGGGUUGCUUCGUCUCUCUUGAUAGUGGUCCAUGACUUAUGGGUAGUCCAUAGUUGUAGAAUGAGUUGAAGCCAAGGGUUCAGUUGCCCUAAUUAUCUACAACAUCAAGGUCACGGUGCUUGUUCCGUGUGUUUUGUAAAUUGGUUUCGUGUGUUUUUGCUUUAGUAGUAAGUUUUGCAAAUUGGCCUUGUGAGGUUUGCAAAUUGAUUCUGUGUGUUUUUGCUUGGGCAGUAAGCUUUGUUUUGGCCUUGGAAUGCAAGGUAUGCAAAUUGGUGCAAACGGUU